rnacentral:rRNA from 1 species
ACGGAAGGUCCGGGCGUUAUCCGGAUUUAUUGGGUUUAAAGGGAGCGCAGGCGGACGUUUAAGUCAGUUGUGAAAUACGGCGGCUCAACCGUCGGGGUGCAGUUGAUACUGGACGUCUUGAGUGCACACAAGGAUGCCGGAAUUCAUGGUGUAGCGGUGAAAUGCUCAGAUAUCAUGAAGAACUCCGAUCGCGAAGGCAGGUGUCCGGGGUGCAACUGACGCUGAGGCUCGAAAGUGCGGGUAUC